CACGUAGGGUCCAAGCGUUGUCCGGAUUUAUUGGGCGUAAAGAGCUCGUAGGCGGCUUGGUAAGUCGAGUGUGAAAACUCUGGGCUCAACUCAGAGACGCCACUCGAUACUGCCAUGGCUUGAGUCCGGUAGGGGAGUGUGGAAUUCCCGGUGUAGCGGUGAGAUGCGCAGAUAUCGGGAGGAACACCAGUAGCGAAGGCGGCACUCUGGGCCGGAACUGACGCUGAGGAGCGAAAGCGUGGGGAGCGAACAGG
rnacentral:rRNA from 1 species